rnacentral:rRNA from 1 species
CGAUCUCAAAUCAGGUAGGACUACCCGCUGAACUUAAGCAUAUCAAUAAG